rnacentral:rRNA from 1 species
UACAGAGGUCUCAAGCGUUGUUCGGAUUCAUUGGGCGUAAAGGGUGUGUAGGUGGCGCGCUAAGUCGGGUGUGAAAUUUCGGAGCUUAACUCCGAAACUGCAUUCGAUACUGGCGUGCUUGAGGACUGGAGAGGAGACUGGAAUUUACGGUGUAGCAGUGAAAUGCGUAGAUAUCGCUUGGAACGCCGAAGGCGAAAGCAGGCUGCUGGGGACGCGCCGACGCUGAGACACGAAAGCCAGGGGAGCAAACGGG